UCAAACCACAUUGAAAUGACAAAAUUACCCCCAACGAUAGUUAACUACUGCUGAAAAAAUCGACAACAGUUAACUACUACUAGCCACAGCGGUAGUUAACUAACGUUACAACCUGUAAUUAAACCAGAAUAGCAACAUCAAUAUACCAUUUUCCAGAAGCUAACCAAAACACUCAAACUCUCUACCAAAAUCACCUUUCACCCAUUUUGCAUAAAAAUCGUCCAAUUUUCUUUCAACAAAAUCUCAAGUGAGUAAUUUUCAUUCUAUUAAUAUGCAAUAUAGUUAGUAUAGGCUGUUUCUUUUUUGUUUUAUAUAUAUAUUUUUAGCAAAAUGUUAGUUUUAGGUUAGUUUGAAAAUGUCUUUUUUUUUUUUGUUAGAUUAGGAUGUUGUAAUUGUAUAUUGAUGUUGUCAUUGUUGUUUAGAGUAGGUUUAGAUACAAUGUGGUUGUUUUGAAGUUUAAUUAACACUAAUUGUGAUCAUUUUAUGAAAUGCAUUCAAGGUGUUUGAUAAAAUGCCUAAGUGAAACAUCCAUUGUUUUUUGAGAUUAUCAUAGACAAAUCUUAAGUGGGAUCAUUAUGAAUUCAGUAUGAAAUAAUUCCGAAAAGGAGUAAAUGGUAAAAUCAUGGUGCAUUUAGCUUAGUUUAGUUACUUUGAAUAUUUUAAUGAUGGUUCGUGUGGUAUAAUCAUAUGCUAAAUCCAUUUAUUUUGCUUUGUUUGCUUUUGUUUUUGCACAAAUAUGUUUGGGGAGAGGAGCGGUGUAGGAUUGAUGAACAUAUGAUGUGACGUGGCAAAACAGAUAUGACAAAUAGCUAUAGGAAGGAACGGACGACAACAAACCCAUGGCCGAAGACGUAGGAACCCGGCAGGUGUAGAGAGAUCACAUAUGGUCCAGUUGCAGGUGGUUGAUCCAACACUUGUGCCACAAUAUGACGAUGGAUACGAUCAUACUAAGCAACAUUAUGUUGAGUAAGCAGAUGAUGUGCACUUUCGGCGCCAGAGGUAUAAGAGGAUGAGGCUGAGGCUGAUCCCGAGGGUGAGACGGUGAGUAUGGGGGUGAUUCUAAUGUUGAGGAUGAUGUCCCUGUUGUAGGGUAUCUCUUUCCUGAAGGUCCUAAGAACAUAUCAGUUUUUUCUAGAUACGCAAAGCAUGUUGCAGUGCUGUUUGGUUUAAUACUCAUAAUAUUUUCUUUGAAGACGCAUAUAGAACCGUUAAUUAUGGGAGAAAGGUGAGAGAUCUUACAACCCCCAGAAGAAGGUUUGGAUUGGUUUUGGCAACCUGUGAGGGCAUCCAGAUUGAGUGACACAUGCCAUGAUACGUACUUUGUGUGAGAUGUUUCACUCAGAGGCUAGCAGUUUCCAUCUACCGGUGAGAGGGAUGACCAUCACGUUAGACGAUGUGUCUAAUCUUCUCCAUGUUCCCAUUAAAGGACGUUCGCUAGACUUUGAGAAGAAGGUGUCGAGGGAGCAUGGGGUGAGUAUGAUGACGAGAUAUUUAGGUAUGUCGGCUGCUGCUGUAGCGAAGGCGUGCAAGGCGAAGUAUGGUGCUCAUCUUACUUUUGUCGCUUUGAAGCGGCUUUAUGAGGACCAUCUGAUCGUGGCUAGACAGCUGGAUGUGCCACAGUCGAGGGAGGAGUUGAAGGAGAGAGAUAGGAGGAGGGAGUGGUGUGUUAGGAGUUUUCUGAUAUAUCUCGUUGGGUGUACGUUGUUCACUAAUAAGACGGACAAACACACCGAGGUAAUAAAUCUUGAGUGUAUGGUGGACUUGACUGCGAUGAAUAGGUGGUUGUGGGGAGGAAUGAAAUUGGCGCACCUAUAUCACUACCUGACUGAUUCCGUCCAACCGAGGACGAAGACGAUGUCUGGUUGUGUGACCCUUCUGAUAGUAAUAAAUUCAAUCAUGUUCAUUUAUUUAA